AUCUCUUUCAGUCACCAAGAUGUGGUGUAUGAUCACAGAACUUUUCUCUGAAGGCAAAUAUUCUUUCAAAAGAAUCAGUUGAACUGAAGUAUCGCCAUAAGUGUGGUCACCGAUUUCUUGAUGAGUACAUUUUAAUGAAAUAAGGUGACCAUGGAAAAUGUAUCAGCUGUGACAUCCUUCAUUUUGACAGCAUACACUGAACUGGAAGAUCACAGAUAUUUAUACUUCAUAUGUUUCCUUCUUUUGUACAUUGUGAUAUUAUUGGUCAAUUUAGUUCUUAUUGUAGUCAUAUGCACUGAGAAAAGUCUUCAUGAACCUAUGCAUUUGUUUAUAUGUAGCUUAUCAGUUAAUGGAGUGUGUGGUAGUACAGUUUUAUUUCCAUCUAUGCUUAGUCAUUUGCUAUCCCAUCAUUAUGAAAUAUCUCUGCCCUUCUGUCUACUACAGAUAUACUGUAUGAUCACAUGUGCUUUAGUUGAAUUUACUA